CGCCGAACGGGUGAGUAACACGUGGGCAAUCUGCCCUGCACUCUGGGACAAGCCCUGGAAACGGGGUCUAAUACCGGAUACGACCACUAGGGGCAUCCCUGGUGGUGGAAAGCUCCGGCGGUGCAGGAUG
rnacentral:rRNA from 1 species